CUGGGAGGACCAUCUCCUAAGGCUAAAUACUCUCUAGUGACCGAUAGUGAACCAGUACCGUGAGGGAAAGGUGAAAAGCACCCCGGAAGGGGAGUGAAAUAGAACCUGAAACCGUGUGCUUACAAGUAGUCAGAGCCCGUUAAUGGGUGAUGGCGUGCCUUUUGUAGAAUGAACCGGCGAGUUACGAUUUGAUGCAAGGUUAAGCAGUAAAUGUGGAGCCGUAGCGAAAGCGAGUCUGAAUAGGGCGUUUAGUAUUUGGUCGUAGACCCGAAACCAGGUGAUCUACCCUUGGUCAGGUUGAAGUUCAGGUAACACUGAAUGGAGGACCGAACCGACUUACGUUGAAAAGUGAGCGGAUGAACUGAGGGUAGCGGAGAAAUUCCAAUCGAACCUGGAGAUAGCUGGUUCUCUCCGAAAUAGCUUUAGGGCUAGCCUCAAGUGAUGAUUAUUGGAGGUAGAGCACUGUUUGGACGAGGGGCCCCUCUCGGGUUACCGAAUUCAGACAAACUCCGAAUGCCAAUUAAUUUAACUUGGGAGUCAGAACAUGGGUGAUAAGGUCCGUGUUCGAAAGGGAAACAGCCCAGACCACCAGCUAAGGUCCCAAAAUAUAUGUUAAGUGGAAAAGGAUGUGGCGUUGCCCAGACAACUAGGAUGUUGGCUUAGAAGCAGCCAUCAUUUAAAGAGUGCGUAAUAGCUCACUAGUCGAGUGACACUGCGCCGAAAAUGUACCGGGGCUAAACAUAUUACCGAAGCUGUGGAUUGUCCUUUGGACAA
rnacentral:rRNA from 1 species